rnacentral:tRNA from 1 species
AGCAAUAAUAGCUUAAGUAAGAGCACUGGUCUUGUAAGCCAGAGGUAAGUUUAAAAUACUUUUAUUGCUU